rnacentral:rRNA from 1 species
CGGACCUCAGAUCAGGCAAGACCACCCGCUGAGUUUAAGCAUAUCACUAAGCGGAGGAAAAGAAACUAACAAGGAUUC